rnacentral:rRNA from 1 species
UACGUAGGGUGCAAGCGUUUGUCCGGAAUUAUUGGGCGUAAAGAGCUCGUAGGCGGUUUGUUGCGUCGGCUGUGAAAUCCCGAGGCUCAACCUCGGGUCUGCAGUCGAUACGAGCAAACUAGAGUGUUGCAGGGGAGACUGGAAUUCCUGGUGUAGCGGUGAAAUGCGCAGAUAUCAGGAAGAACACCCGUGGCUAAGGCGGCUCUCUAGUACGGUACUGACGCUGAGACGCGAAAGCGUGGGGAGCGAACAGG